rnacentral:lncRNA from 1 species
UCUCAGUUGCCCAUUUUGGCUUAAUUCAACAAUUUUGUAAAAGUAUAUGUCCUCUUCCCUUAGAGCCGUGGACCUCAGGCUGGCCACAGAGAAGUUCACAGCUCCAUUAGGCCCUUCCCAUCAACGCCUUUCUCUAGACUGUGCUUGGUAAUUGCUUGUCCUGGGAGAGCCUUCAGCUGUCCUGGGCAGAGUUGGAGCAGGAGAUCGCCCACAGCUGUAGGAUGUUCUACCUUCCCCUGGUCCUGCUUGUUCCUUUCUUUUGAAGGGACAUGUACACACCCCCACCUAUGGGUUGACCACAAUUGGAGAGAUACAGAUGGAGAACUCUCGUGGGGGGGAUUUACCGCACCUAUCCCAGUCAAGUGCUUCAAUAACGUGUCUCUACAGAGAAAACUGGAUGGCAGAAUCUAUGGACGUUCGAAGCUUAGGGUAAAAACCAAGAAAUCCCCAAUUUCAAGCCAAGUUCCAAGGUAGUCCUUCAAUUACUGAAGAGACUUGACCUUUAAGCAUGCUACCACAUAUCCCCUUCCAACUUGCCUUUCCAGCCUGAGAACAAAUGAGCUUGAGGGACUGAAGAUACUACCACUGCCCUUUCUUAGUCAAGGUCUUCAGAAAUGACACUAAUGAAGCCCUGGCGCAUGCAGAGCACCAUGCAGGAGCAGGAGA